rnacentral:tRNA from 125 species
GCCACUUUAGCUCAGUCGGUAGAGCGGCUCACUCGUAAUGAGCAGGUCGACAGUUCGAUUCUGUCAAGUGGCUCCA